GUGUCAGCAGCCGCGGUAAAACGUAGGAGGCUAGCGUUAUCCGGAUUUAUUGGGCGUAAAGCGUGUGCAGGCGGUUUAGCAAGUUGGAUGUGAAAGCUCCUGGCUUAACUGGGAGAGGUCGUUCAAAACUGCUAGACUAGAGGAUGGAAGAGGAAGGUGGAAUUCCGGGUGUAGUGGUGAAAUGCGUAGAUAUCCGGAGGAACACCAGUGGCGAAAGCGGCCUUCUAGGCCAUUUCUGACGCUUAGACACGAAAGCUAGGGGAGCAAACGGGAUUAGAGACCCCGGUAGUCCUAGCUGUAAACGAUGUAGACUUGGCGUUGGCGGAGUUAAAUCUGCCAGUGCCGAAGCUAACGCGUGAAGUCUACCGCCUGGGGACUACGACCGCAAGGUUAAA
rnacentral:rRNA from 1 species